UCCCCAGACAGCCAUCACCCCUGAUCCAAGUCAUGAGAUGAGCCUUAGACGGAGACCGCAACAUGUAUCUUUUGAGCACUCUCCCUCGGCUCCAGAGAACCUUAGUUCUGUUCAGGCUCCCCUCGCAUGAAGGUACGUCCUAUACCCCCCCGCUCCCCACAUCUGCCACAGGCAUGGUGACUUUUCACCUGAACCUUCUGUAGAAAGGGUGAAGGAAAAAAGCUCCCACGAUGGAAUCUAGUCUUUGUUUAAAGUUUUGUUUUUGUUUUUUUUUUUUUUUUUUUUUUUGAAAAUACUUUCAGAGCCAUACACCCUGUGAUGAGAAUUAAUCUAUUUAACAAAACCAAGAAUAAAUGUUUUUUUUUUCUG
rnacentral:lncRNA from 1 species